AUUGAACGCUGGCGGCAGGCUUAACACAUGCAAGUCGAGCGAGCGGCGGACGGGUGAGUCAUGUCUGUGACUCUGACUGAUGGAGGGGGAUAACUACUGGCAACCGUAGCUAAUACCGCAUUCUAUCAACUGUGCCCAUAUGGGAUUAGCUAGUAGGUGGGGUAAUGGAUCACCUAGGCGACAAUCCCUAGCUGGUCUGAGAGGAUGACAAGCCACAAUGGAACUGAGACACGGUCCAGAUUACUAAGGGAGGCAGCAGUGGGGAAUAUUGCACAAUGGGCGCAAGCCUGAUGCAGCCAUGCAGCGUGUGUGAAGAAGGCCUUCGGGUUGUAAAGCACUUUCAGCGAGGAGGCGUUACUCGCAGAAGAAGCACCGGCUAACUCCGUGCCAGCAGCCGCGGUAAUAC
rnacentral:rRNA from 1 species